UACGUAGGGUGCAAGCGUUGUCCGGAAUUAUUGGGCGUAAAGAGCGUGUAGGCGGUUUGGUAGGUCCGUUGUGAAAACUCGAGGCUCAACCUCGAGACGCCGAUGGAAACCAUCAGACUAGAGUCCGGAAGAGGAGAGUGGAAUUCCUGGUGUAGCGGUGAAAUGCGCAGAUAUCAGGAAGAACACCCGUGGCUAAGGCGGCUCUCUAGUACGGUACUGACGCUGAGACGCGAAAGCGUGGGGAGCGAACAGG
rnacentral:rRNA from 1 species